rnacentral:tRNA from 1 species
CGGGGCGUAGCGCAGACGGCUUAGCGCGCCUGCCUUGGGAGCAGGAGGUCGCUGGUUCAAGUCCAGUCGCCCCGA